rnacentral:rRNA from 1 species
UGGAAGAAUCAGCGGGGAAAGAAGCCCUGUUGAGCUUGACUCUAGUCUGUUACUGUGGAACGACUUGAUGGGUGUAGAAUAUGCGGGAGGGGCAACCCGCCAGUGAAAUACCGCAACCGUCAACGUUGUUUUACUUACUCGGUGGUGCGGAGAGGGCCUCGGCUCGCUUCUGGAUCCAAGCCGCCUCGCGCGCGCGAUCCGCGUCGGGGACACUAACAGGUGGGGAGUUUGGCUGGGGCG